AGUGAACGCUGGCGGUAGGCCUAACACAUGCAAGUCGAACGGCAGCACAGUAAGAGCUUGCUCUUACGGGUGGCGAGUGGCGGACGAGUGAGGAAUACAUCGGAAUCUACUUUUUCGUGGGGGAUAACGUAGGGAAACUUACGCUAAUACCGCAUACGACCUACGGGUGAAAGCAGGGGAUCUUCGGACCUUGCGCGAUUGAAUGAGCCGAUGUCGGAUUAGCUAGUUGGCGGGGUAAAGGCCCACCAAGGCGACGAUCCGUAGCUGGUCUGAGAGGAUGAUCAGCCACACUGGAACUGAGACGCGGUCCAGACUCCUACGGGAGGCAGCAGUGGGGAAUAUUGGACAAUGGGCGCAAGCCUGAUCCAACCAUACCGCGUGGGUGAAGAAGACCUUCGGGUUGUAAAGCCCUUUUGUUGGGAAAGAAAAGCAGCAGGUUAAUACCCCGCUGUUCUGACGGUACCCAAAGAAUAAGCACCGGCUAACUUCGUG
rnacentral:rRNA from 1 species